rnacentral:rRNA from 1 species
AGGGAUGGGCCUGCGGGCCAGUUAGCUUGUUGGUGAGGUAACGGCUCACCAGGCUGUGAUGGCUAGCUGGUCUGAGAGGAUGACCAGCCACACUGGGACUGAGACACGGCCCAGACUCCUACGGGAGGCAGCAGUGGGGAAUAUUGCGCAAUGGGCGAAAGCCUGACGCAGCGACGCCGCGUGGGUGAUGAAGGCCUUCGGGUCGUAAAGCCCUGUCGCAGGGGAAGAAUAAGCAUCGGUAUAAUACGCCGGUGCCCUGACGGUACCCUGCAAGAAAGCACCGGCUAACUCCGUG